rnacentral:rRNA from 1 species
UACGGAGGAGGCAAGCGUUAUCCGGAAUUAUUGGGCGUAAAGCGUCCGUAGGUGGUUAUGUAAGUCUGCUGUCAAAGCACAGGGCUUAACCCUGUAAAGGCAGUGGAAACUACAAGACUCGAGUGCGGUAGGGGCAGAGGGAAUUCCCAGUGUAGCGGUGAAAUGCGUAGAGAUUGGGAAGAACACCUGUGGCGAAAGCGCUCUGCUGGACCGCAACUGACACUCAGGGACGAAAGCUAGGGGAGCGAAUGGG